rnacentral:rRNA from 1 species
GACGAACGCUGGCGGCGUGCUUAACACAUGCAAGUCGAACGAUGAACCGGAGCUUGCUCUGGGGAUUAGUGGCGAACGGGUGAGUAACACGUGGGCAACCUGCCCCAGACACCGGGAUAACCAUUGGAAACGACGGCUAAUACCGGAUACGACCACUUCGGGCAUCCGAUGGUGGUGGAAAGGAUUCUGGUCUGGGAUGGGCCCGCGGCCUAUCAGCUUGUUGGUGGGGUAAUGGCCUACCAAGGCGACGACGGGUAGCCGGCCUGAGAGGGCGACCGGCCACACUGGGACGGAGACACGGCCCAGACUCCUACGGGAGGCAGCAGUGGGGAAUAUUGCGCAAUGGGCGAAAGCCUGACGCAGCGACGCCGCGUGAGGGACGAAGGUCUUCGGAUUGUAAACCUCUUUCAGCAGGGAUGAAGCGAAAGUGACAGUACCUGCAGAAGAAGCACCGGCUAACUACGUGCCAGCAGCCGCCGUAAGAC